rnacentral:rRNA from 1 species
UACGAAGGGGGCUAGCGUUGUUCGGAAUGACUGGGCGUAAAGGGCGCGUAGGCGGUCGGCCGCGUCCGAUGUGAAAGCCCCGGGCUCAACCUGGGAAUAGCAUUGGAAACGGGUCGACUCGAGUUCGGGAGAGGAUGGUGGAAUUCCCAGUGUAGAGGUGAAAUUCGUAGAGAUUGGGAAGAACACCGAGGGCGAAGGCAGCCAUCUGGACCGACACUGACGCUGAGGCGCGACAGCGUGGGGAGCAAACAGG